CCCACCUGUAGAGGCAUGGCAGGUGUGGCUGCUGUGUCACGUGUGUGUCAGUAGGUGGCACAGAGGAGAGAAGCUACAUCUAAAUUCAAUUUUCUGACCUAUAAACAUUUGAAUAGUUAUCCUAGCAUU